UGGGGAAUAUUGGACAAUGGGCGCAAGCCUGAUCCAGCCAUGCCGCGUGAGUGAUGAAGGCCCUAGGGUUGUAAAGCUCUUUCACCGGUGAAGAUAAUGACGGUAACCGGAGAAGAAGCGCCGGCUAACUUCGUGCCAGCAGCCGCGGUAAUACGAAGGGGGCUAGCGUUGUUCGGAUUUACUGGGCGUAAAGCGCACGUAGGCGGACUUUUAAGUCAGGGGUGAAAUCCCGGGGCUCAACCCCGGAACUGCCUUUGAUACUGGAAGUCUUGAGUAUGGUAGAGGUGAGUGGAAUUCCGAGUGUAGAGGUGAAAUUCGUAGAUAUUCGGAGGAACACCAGUGGCGAAGGCGGCUCACUGGACCCUCACUGACGCUGAGGUGCGAAAGCGUGGGGAGCAAACAGG
rnacentral:rRNA from 1 species